UACGGAGGGGGCUAGCGUUGUUCGGAAUUACUCGGCGUAAAGCGCACGUAGGCGGCUUUGCAAGUUAGAGGUGAAAGCCCAGGGCUUAACCCUGGAAUUGCCUUUAAAACUGCAUCGCUAGAAUUGUGGAGAGGUAAGUGGAAUUCCGAGUGUAGAGGUGAAAUUCGUAGAUAUUCGGAAGAACACCAGUGGCGAAGGCGACUUACUGGACACAUAUUGACGCUGAGGUGCGAAAGCGUGGGGAGCAAACAGG
rnacentral:rRNA from 1 species